UACAGAGGUCUCGAGCGUUAGGCGGAAUCAUUGGGCUUAAAGCGUGUGUAGGCGGAUCGUUUAGUACCUUGUGAAAUCCCACGGCUUAACCGUGGAAUUGCUGGGUAUACUGGCGAUCUUGAGCCACUUAGGGGCUACCGGAACAAAUGGUGGAGCGGUGAAAUGCGUAGAUAUCAUUUGGAACGCCAAUGGUGAAAACAGGUAGCUGGGAGUGUGCUGACGCUGAGACACGAAAGCCAGGGGAGCAAACGGG
rnacentral:rRNA from 1 species